AUUCCAUGAUGUGGGCAUCUCCUUUGCAAUUCCUUUAAAUCAUCCCCAUGCCUCAUACAAAGACUCCCCAUCCAUUUGAUAGAAGUUGUUAAUCUCUCCUUUAAUUAU